rnacentral:rRNA from 1 species
GAUGAACGCUGGCGGCGUGCCUAAUACGUGCAAGUCGAGCGAACAGACGAGGAGCUUGCUCCUCUGACGUUAGCGGCGGACGGGUGAGUAACACGUGGAUAACCUACCUAUAAGACUGGGAUAACUUCGGGAAACCGGAGCUAAUACCGGAUAAUAUAUUGAACCGCAUGGUUCAAUAGUGAAAGACGGCUUUGCUGUCACUUAUAGAUGGAUCCGCGCCGCAUUAGCUAGUUGGUAAGGUAACGGCUUACCAAGGCAACGAUGCGUAGCCGACCUGAGAGGGUGAUCGGCCACACUGGAACUGAGACACGGUCCAGACUCCUACGGGAGGCAGCAGUAGGGAAUCUUCCGCAAUGGGCGAAAGCCUGACGGAGCAACGCCGCGUGAGUGAUGAAGGUCUUCGGAUCGUAAAACUCUGUUAUUAGGGAAGAACAAAUGUGUAAGUAACUAUGCACGUCUUGACGGUACCUAAUCAGAAAGCCACGGCUAACUACGUG